rnacentral:rRNA from 1 species
AGCAGCCGCGGUAAUUCCAGCUCCAAUAGCGUAUAUUAAAGUUGUUGCAGUUAAAAAGCUCGUAGUUGAAUUUCGGGAUCAAUAUAUCGGUCGUGCCUUUGGUAUGCACUGGUAUUAUUGAUUUCUACCUUCUGACGAAUCAUGAUGUCAUUAAUUUGGUGUCAUGGGGAAUCAGGACUGUUACUUUGAAAAAAUUAGAGUGUUUAAAGCAGGCAC